UUGUUCACUGCCAUGGCAACGGUGACGCUGUCUCUCGUUAUUUAACCGCGGGAGCAGACAACUCUCCGGAGUCGGAGCUAGCCCGCUCGGGAGACAUCGAGCCGAGAGUGGUUUCAGAAUAGUGGAGGACGUUCUGAAGCGCGCAUUGAGCAAAUUCAGUAAUCACAAGGGCUCCUUGCAGCUCCUCUGAUCUGUAACAGCAGUCCUUCCAGCCAGAAGCUUGCGAAGGAGCUCCAGGAACAGCAGA